GACGAACGCUGGGGGCGUGCUUAACACAUGCAAGUCGAACGAUGAACCCGGAGCUUGCUCCGGUGGAUUAGUGGCGAACGGGUGAGUAACACGUGAGUAACCUGCCCUUGACUCUGGGAUAACUGCGGGAAACUGUAGCUAAUACCGGAUACGACCCCCGGCGGCAUCGCCAGGGGGUGGAAAGAAUUUCGGUCAAGGAUGGACUCGCGGCCUAUCAGCUAGUUGGUGAGGUAACGGCUCACCAAGGCGACGACGGGUAGCCGGCCUGAGAGGGUGACCGGCCACACUGGGACUGAGACACGGCCCAGACUCCUACGGGAGGCAGCAGUAGGGAAUUUUCCACAAUGGGGGCAACCCUGAUGGAGCAACGCCGCGUGCAGGAGGAAGGCCCUCGGGUCGUAAACUGCUUUUAUUUGUGACGAUUUUGACAGUAGCAAAUGAAUAAGGAUCGGCUAACUCCGUGCCAGCCGCCGCCGUAA
rnacentral:rRNA from 1 species